rnacentral:rRNA from 1 species
AUUGAACGCUGGCGGCAGGCCUAACACAUGCAAGUCGAGCGGAUGACGGGAGCUUGCUCCUUGAUUCAGCGGCGGACGGGUGAGUAAUGCCUAGGAAUCUGCCUGGUAGUGGGGGACAACGCUUCGAAAGGAACGCUAAUACCGCAUACGUCCUACGGGAGAAAGCAGGGGAACUUCGGGCCGUGCGCCAUCAGAUGAGCCUAGGUCGGAUUAGCUAGUACGUGAGGUAAUGGCUCAGCUAGGCGACGAUCCGUAACUGGUCUGAGAGGAUGAUCAGUCACACUGGAGCUGAGACACGGUCCAGACUCCUACGGGAGGCAGCAGUGGGGAAUAUAGGACAAUGGGCGAAAGCCUGAUCCAGCCAUGCCGCGUGUGUGAAGAAGGUCUUCGGAUUGUAAAGCACUUUAAGUUGGGAGGAAGGGCAGUAAGCUAAUACCUUGCUGUUUUGACGUUACCGACAGAAUAAGCACCGGCUAACUCUGUGCCAGCCGCCGCGGUAACAC